UGGGGGAUAUUGCACAAUGGAGGAAACUCUGAUGCAGCAACGCCGCGUGAGGGAAGAAGGUUUUCGGAUUGUAAACCUCUGUUUUUAGUGAAGAAACAAAUGACGGUAGCUAAAGAGGAAGCCACGGCUAACUACGUGCCAGCAGCCGCGGUAAUACGUAGGUGGCAAGCGUUGUCCGGAUUUACUGGGUGUAAAGGGUGCGCAGGCGGGACUGCAAGUUGGAUGUGAAAUACCGGAGCUCAACUCCGGGGCUGCAUCCAAAACUGUGGUUCUUGAGUGGAGCAGAGGUAAGCGGAAUUCCGAGUGUAGCGGUGAAAUGCGUAGAUAUUCGGAGGAACACCAGUGACGAAGGCGGCUUACUGGGCUC
rnacentral:rRNA from 1 species